rnacentral:rRNA from 1 species
UACGGGGGGGGCAAGCGUUGUUCGGAAUUACUGGGCGUAAAGGGCUCGUAGGUGGCCAACUAAGUCAGACGUGAAAUCCCUCGGCUUAACCGGGGAACUGCGUCUGAUACUGGAUGGCUUGAGGUUGGGAGAGGGAUGCGGAAUUCCAGGUGUAGCGGUGAAAUGCGUAGAUAUCUGGAGGAACACCGGUGGCGAAGGCGGCAUCCUGGACCGGUACUGACGCUGAUGCGCGAAAGCGUGGGGAGCAAACGGG